CAGUCGCCCGGGAACACGAAGGGUGCAAGCGUUAAUCGGAAUUACUGGGCGUAAAGCGUGCGUAGGCGGUGAGUUAAGUCUGCUGUGAAAUCCCCGGGCUCAACCUGGGAAUGGCAGUGGAUACUGGCUCGCUAGAGUGUGUCAGAGGAUGGUGGAAUUCCCGGUGUAGCGGUGAAAUGCGUAGAGAUCGGGAGGAACAUCAGUGGCGAAGGCGGCCAUCUGGGACAACACUGACGCUGAGGCACGAAAGCGUGGGGAGCAAACAGGAUUAGAUACCCCGGUAGUCCCUGUCUCUUAUACA
rnacentral:rRNA from 1 species